rnacentral:rRNA from 1 species
AUACGUAGGGUGCGAGCGUUGUCCGGAAUUACUGGGCGUAAAGAGCUCGUAGGUGGUUUGUCGCGUCGUCUGUGAAAUUCCGGGGCUUAACUCCGGGCGUGCAGGCGAUACGGGCAUAACUUGAGUACUGUAGGGGAGACUGGAAUUCCUGGUGUAGCGGUGAAAUGCGCAGAUAUCAGGAGGAACACCGGUGGCGAAGGCGGGUCUCUGGGCAGUAACUGACGCUGAGGAGCGAAAGCAUGGGUGGCGAACAGGAUUAGAUACCCUGGUAGUCCAUGCCGUAAACGGUGGGCGCUAGGUGUAGGGGUCUUCCACGACUUCUGUGCCGUAGCUAACGCAUUAAGCGCCCCGCCUGGGGAGUACGGCCGCAAGGCUAAAACUCAAAUGAAUUGACGGGG